rnacentral:lncRNA from 1 species
CUGUUUUACGUCAUGCCCGCUAACAAAUUGAAAACUGUACCUAUACGCCUUACUUUAGUCCAGAUUUUUAGUAUUCGUAUUGUUAUCUUAGAAAGUCUAACUGAUUAAAAUACUACAAUAGGUAACAAUUUGACAAUUAAGUAGUGUCAACCCUGUGAUUAUGACCCGUGUAAUACUAUAUAGCAUAUUAAUCCUGAAUACACCGUUUGGUGGUGCGCCUGUCAGAUGCGGAACGUACAGAUAAGGUAAUCGGUAACAGGUGAAUAUACUAUUGAUAUCGGUAUCGGACUCGACCCG